GAGAAGAGAAAGGCUACCCACUCCAGUAUUCUGGCCUAGAGAAUUCCAUGGACUGUAUAGUUCAUAGGGUCGCAGAGAGUCAGACAUGACUGAGCAAGUUUCACUUUCUUACCAGCUAUCUGUUUUACAUGAUAGUGUAUAUAUGUCGAUACUACUUUCUCCAUUUGUCUAGUUCUUUCUUAUUCUCAAACUUUGCUGUUGGCUUCAGAGGCGGGGAACCCUAAGCACCAUAACUGCCGCUGCACAGAAAACCCAGGUGGGGUUGAUCUGAGUCCGGAAAGCCAGAGUCUCAGGCAUGGACCUACAGCAGAGGAGCUAGAGGUCUGAUCAGCUGUGUCCAAUGAGAAUAUAAUGCAAGCAACAAAUGCAAAUCAUAUAUAUUAUUUCAUGUUUUCUAUAUAUAUUAAAAAUUAAAGCUUAAUUUUAACCAUAUAUAUAUAUUUAACCUAAUUAUCCAAAAUGUUAUCUUUUUGAUAUGUCAUCGACAUAAUUAUUAAUGAGACGUUUUACAUACUUUUUUUCACACCAAGUCUUGGGACCUGUUCUGUGUUUUCCGGGAGCACGUGUGGAGAAUGCACGUCUACAUUCACCACGUACUGGGGUCACCUGCCUCUGAAGAAGAAGGCCUAGGGCACGGAGGUCAGCAGGCAGGUCCCUCCUUCCUGUCCUUCCUAGAGCCUCUAGAAUCUGUUCUCCACAUCUGAGAAUCUUUCCUGUGUUCCUCGUCAUCGCUGCUUCUGGAGAGCACGAGCAGGCGAGUGGGCCAGAUCAACUCUGCAGGGCUCCUUUCCUCGCGUCUAUGUGUCUGAAGUCAGAAUCCAAGAGAAUCACGCCUCCCCGCCACUUUCCAGACUGAACCAUUGACACAUAUGAGCAGAGCCCCUGGGUGUUGAUGGGGAGAAGAUGAAGCUUUGGUUGGGGAGAAAUGGAUAUCUGAAAUCGAUUGAGACAGAGAGCAAAGGAAGAGCUGUGGUUGGCCUGAACAGUCUUGAGUGUUGUUCAAAUGUUGCCAGCGGGUGUGAGCUGACACUUCUAGGAAUUCCACUGGCCGAGGAUCCCAGAGCACAGGAAGUUUUGAGAGUCAGAAUUUACUGACAUUGCCUGGUCAAAACUGAACACGAAUCUUCAUGCCUUGAGAUGCAGAAAGGCAAGGUGCUUCCUAAUGGAGACUGAUGAAGCCGGAACGCAGAUAAUGAACUGAAACAGGAUUCCUCACUGAAAUGAAAGUCAGGGCUGGCGAUAAUGAACGCAGUUGUCUCUAUUGAGCCCAGAAGCUCCACUCUACGUGGAACUUUGUGAAAUGAGGUCUUCCUUGUAAAACAACAGGUUGUGAGGAGUGGAAUCUAUGUUUAAAUUGCUGUUAAACUGAGCUAAGCAAAGUCAAGAAAUAGCCUUCCAACUCAAGAGAUUAAUCCUGCAAGCAAGGUGCUCAAAAAUGUCCAAGAGGCUUGAAGUCCUUCUUGAAUCUUUCGGCAACCUGUGAAAGGAAAAUGUUGUAAAAUUUCUCCUGCCAAGAAGGAGCUUAAGCAUCUCAAGGGCAACCUGAAGCUAUUGUCCAAGGUUGUUUCUCUGAAUGGACAGUCUCAAGUCAGGAACUUGUGAUAUUGUGAGUGAACAAAAGAAGAUAAGAAUACUCAGAUUCAAGCAUUUUGAAACUCUGGAGAAAUGUUUCCCUGGGCUGGGGAGUAUCACCAAAAUAUCCCAGAUUUUGGGACACAGUAAAGAAGGAACUGAAGGAAUGUUUAUUCCAUAAUAAGGUCGGAUAAUAAGUUUACUGAUCCUGUACUCCCAGUAUGAAUCUCAACAUCGCUAGCUUUUCUGCUGUGCUGGAUGAAAAGAGUGGGGUCUGGAUCGAAGAGAUGUGCUCUUUGAGGUAGGAUAAUUAUUGAUUUUCAAACUUCUGGUUAUCUGUAU
rnacentral:lncRNA from 1 species